GCUGUAGCUCAGCAGUAGAGCAUCUGCUAUGCAUGCAGAAGGCCACAGGUUCAAUCACCAGCAUCUGCA